AAGCUCGUAGUUGAAUUUCGGGCCUGGCCGGGCGGUCGGCUUAACGGCGUGCACUGUCUGGCUGGGCCUUACCUCUUGGUGAGCUGGCGUGUCCUUUAUUGGAUGCGUCGGGGAACCAGGACUUUUACCUUGAGAAAAAUUAGAGUGUUCAAAGCAGGCCUAUGCCCGAAUACAUUAGCAUGGAAUAGUAAAAUAGGACGUGCGGUUCUAUUCUGUUGGUUUCUAGAGUCGCCGUAAUGAUUAAUAGGGAUAGUUGGG
rnacentral:rRNA from 1 species